UACGGGGGGGGCAAGCGUUGUUCGGAAUUACUGGGCGUAAAGGGCUCGUAGGCGGCCAACUAAGUCGGAUGUGAAAUCCCCAAGCUUAACUUGGGAACUGCAUCCGAUACUGGAUGGCUUGAAUCCGGGAGAGGGAUGCAGAAUUCCAGGUGUGGCGGUGAAAUGCGUAGAUAUCUGGAGGAAUACCGGUGGCGAAGGCGGCAUCCUGGACCGGCAUUGACGCUGAGGAGCGAAAGCUAGGGGAGCAAACGGG
rnacentral:rRNA from 1 species